rnacentral:rRNA from 1 species
CCCGGCACAAGCGGUGGAGCAUGUGGUUAAUUCAAUGCAACGCGAAGAACUUACCUAGGCUUGACAUCCCUGGAAUUUGUUGGAAACACAAAAGUAGCCUUUCGGGGAACCGAGGAGACAGGUGCUGCAUGGCUGUCGUCAGCUCGUGUCGUGAGAUGUUGGGUUAAGUCCCGCAACGAGCGCAACCCUUAUCUUUAAUUGCCAGCAUUCAGUUUGGGCACUUUAAAGAGACUGCCGGUGUUAAACCGGAGGAAGGUGGGGAUGACGUCAAGUCCUCAUGGCCUUUAUGCUUAGGGCUACACACGUGCUACAAUGGGUGGUACAAAGAGAAGCCAACUCGCGAGAGCGCGCCAAUCUCAAAAAGCCAUCCUCAGUUCGGAUUGGAGUCUGCAACUCGACUCCAUGAAGCUGGAAUCGCUAGUAAUCGCGGAUCAGCACGCCGCGGUGAAUACGUUCCCGGGCCUU